rnacentral:rRNA from 1 species
AGAGUUUGAUCCUGGCUCAGAUUGAACGCUGGCGGCAUGCCUUACACAUGCAAGUCGAACGCGAAAGCGGGGCAACCCGCAAGUAGAGUGGCGAACGGGUGAGUAAUACAUCGGAACGUACCCAGUAGCGGGGGAUAACCUCUCGAAAGAGAGGCUAAUACCGCAUACGACCUACGGGUGAAAGAGGGGGAUCGCAAGACCUCUCACUAUUGGAGCGGCCGAUGUCGGAUUAGCUAGUUGGCUGGGUAAAAGCCCACCAAGGCGACGAUCCGUAGCUGGUCUGAGAGGACGGCCAGCCACACUGGAACUGAGACACGGUCCAGACUCCUACGGGAGGCAGCAGUGGGGAAUUUUGGACAAUGGGCGCAAGCCUGAUCCAGCCAUGCCGCGUGAGUGAAGAAGGCCUUCGGGUUGUAAAGCUCUUUCGGCGGGGACGAAAAGGUCCGUGUUAACACCACGGAUCCAUGACGGUACCCGCAGAAGAAGCACCGGCUAACUACGUGCCAGCAGCCGCGGUAAUACGUAGGGUGCAGGCGUUAAUCGGAAUUACUGGGCGUAAAGCGUGCGCAGGCGGUUUGCUAAGACAGGUGUGAAAUCCCCGGGCUUAACCUGGGAACUGCGCUUGUAACUGGCAAGCUAGAGUGUGGCAGAGGGGGGUGGAAUUCCACGUGUAGCAGUGAAAUGCGUAGAGAUGUGGAGGAACACCGAUGGCGAAGGCAGCCCCCUGGGCUAACACUGACGCUCAUGCACGAAAGCGUGGGGAGCAAACAGGAUUAGAUACCCUGGUAGUCC